CCUACGGGAGGCAGCAGUGGGGAAUAUUGGACAAUGGGCGAAAGCCUGAUCCAGCCAUGCCGCGUGUGUGAAGAAGGCCUUCGGGUUGUAAAGCACUUUCAGUGGGGAAGAAAGCCUUGGGGCUAAUACCCUCGAGGAAGGACAUCACCCACAGAAGAAGCACCGGCUAACUCCGUGCCAGCAGCCGCGGUAAUACGGAGGGUGCGAGCGUUAAUCGGAAUUACUGGGCGUAAAGCGCGCGUAGGCGGUCUGAUAAGCCGGUUGUGAAAGCCCCGGGCUCAACCUGGGUACGGCAUCCGGAACUGUCAGGCUAGAGUGCAGGAGAGGAAGGUAGAAUUCCCGGUGUAGCGGUGAAAUGCGUAGAGAUCGGGAGGAAUACCAGUGGCGAAGGCGGCCUUCUGGACUGACACUGACGCUGAGGUGCGAAAGCGUGGGUAGCAAACAGGAUUAGAUACCCCAGUAGUC
rnacentral:rRNA from 1 species